rnacentral:piRNA from 1 species
UCCCCUUUCAAUUCCAUUGUGUUGGCUGCA